rnacentral:rRNA from 1 species
UAGGNUGUUUGAUCAUGGCUCAGAGUGAGACGCUCGGUCGUGUAAGCCUAACACAUGCAAGUCGAACGGCAGCACAGUGAGAGCUUGCUCUCUGGGUGGCGAGUGGCGGACGGGUGAGUGAAUACAUCGGAAUCUACUCUGUCGUGGGGGAUAACGUAGUGGAAACUUACGCUAAUACCGCAUACGACCUACGGGUGAAAGCAGGGGAUCUUCGGACCUUGCGCGAUUGAAUGAGCCGAUGUCGGAUUAGCUAGUUGGCUGGGGUAAAGGCCCACCAAGGCGACGAUCCGUAGCUGGUCUGAGAGGAUGAUCAGCCACACUGGAACUGAGACACGGUCCAGACUCCUACGGGAGGCAGCAGU